CCCUUAGAUGUCCUGGGCCGCACGCGCGCUACACUGUCGGAUUCAGCGAGUCAUAUCCUUAACCGAAAGGUUUGGGUAAUCUUUUGAAAGUCCGACGUGAUGGGGAUUGAUCAUUGCAAUUAUUGAUCAUGAACGAGGAAUUCCUAGUAAGCGCGAGUCAUCAGCUCGCGUUGAUUACGUCCCUGCCCUUUGUACACACCGCCCGUCGCUACUACCGAUUGAAUGGUUUAGUGAGAUCUUCGGAUUGGCGCCUACGCGGCUUCUCUGAGGCCACGCUGGAUGCCGAAAAGUUGCUCAAACUGUAUCAUUUAGAGGAAGUAAAAGUCGUAACA
rnacentral:rRNA from 1 species